CCCAUCUAUACCCGGGCUUGACAAGCAAAAGGGGUGUGUCUCUCGCCCCCCAACCCCUUUCCUCGCCUCCUCCAGCUACACACCUCCAGACUGCAACGCGCUCCGCCCGUCGCUCUGCCCGCCACACGCUCUCCUCUCAUGUCGGGGAGACCUGUAGGCAUCCGAGUGCUACUUUUGAUCAUCGCGUUUUUCGCUGGGAACCCUCAUCACCUCGCUCUGCCUUGGGCUGAGAGUGGAAGAAUGAAAAAGGUAUAGAAGAGAGUAAAGUUAUAUCGAGUCUGGCUGACAUGUGCAACCAGGCAGCUGCUUGGCGCGGCGGAGAGCAAAUUUGGCACAUGCAGCUCUCAGCGAUGAGCAGCAAACAGAGCUCCCUUCAGAGCUUUUGUAUACAAUGCAAGACGGGAGGACGCGCAGGCUCCCUGUUCCGACGGUGACACGCUUUCCCGGGUAUUCCCGAAAGUAAUUGGGAGGGAUGAUAGUGAGCAGGGAAAAAAGUGAAACAGCGUUCUCCUGCAACUGUACUGGGAACAUUCUCGCUGCAGGUUUUCAUAUCUCACAGUUCGCUGUUGCGGAGAAUCCUUCAAUUAACCGACGGGACAUUUGUUUUAUUGCAUUGUGGGAAACAGCGGAAGACAAUCUGUAACCUCGGGUGCACGGAUUGAAUCCAGAGAUGUACGGUGGCAAUCGAACGCAGCACAAAAGGACAAAAACCAUCCUAAUCCAAUCGCCGAGGAUCCAUUUGACUAAUUGAAAUCGCUCACUUAAAAGUUAAUUUGCGGCGUUCCAACUUACCUGGCGCCGGACAAUUGUGCGGCGGCUGUCUGUAAUCACCUGUUGGACGAAAAGUAUAUGCUAAUGCACGGGGAUGAAGAAACACAAUGCGAGAAUCGCUCUGCUUUAGUGACAGUUACACGCCUUACUUCAAAUGUAUUGUUUUUUUUUUUUGCUUUCUUCCUCCAUCACCUCUUCUGUCUUGAGUGAGCCAUUUCGCUGCCUGACUUCCGCAGCAAGACUGAAAGGCACUUAUUUACCGCUUCCACCCCUCUUUCGGUCUCCUUCUGUCUUCUCUACU
rnacentral:lncRNA from 1 species